rnacentral:rRNA from 1 species
GAGUUUGAUCCUGGCUCAGAUUGAACGCUGGCGGCGUGCCUAACACAUGCAAGUCGAACGUGAAAGUUCCUUCGGGGAUGAGUAAAGUGGCGCACGGGUGAGUAACGCGUGGGUAAUCUGCCCUUAAAUUUGGGAUAACGGCUGGAAACGGUCGCUAAUACCGGAUAUGCUCUGGAUUUUAGAGUAUCCAGGGGAAAGGUGGCCUCUGCAUAUGCUGCCGUUUAAGGAUGAGCCCGCGUCCCAUUAGCUUGUUGGUGGGGUAAUGGCCUACCAAGGCGACGAUGGGUAGCUGGUCUGAGAGGAUGACCAGCCACACUGGGACUGGAACACGGCCCAGACUCCUACGGGAGGCAGCAGUGGGGAAUAUUGCGCAAUGGACGCAAGUCUGACGCAGCGACGCCGCGUGAGGGAUGAAGGUCUUCGGAUCGUAAACCUCUGUCAGGGGGAAAGAAGGUGCAACGUGCUAAUCAGCGUUGUAUUGACGGUACCUCCAAAGGAAGCACCGGCUAACUCCGUGCCAGCAGCCGCGGUAAUACGGAGGGUGCGAGCGUUAAUCGGAAUUACCGGGCGUAAAGCGCACGUAGGCUGUUGUAUAAGUCAGGGGUGAAAUCCCGCGGCUCAACCGCGGAACUGCCUUUGAUACUAUACGACUGGAGUUCG